rnacentral:rRNA from 1 species
UACGGAGGGAGCUAGCGUUGUUCGGAAUUACUGGGCGUAAAGCGCGCGUAGGCGGCUUAGCAAGUUGGGGGUGAAAGCCCAGGGCUCAACCCUGGAACUGCCCUCAAAACUGCUAAGCUAGAAUCCUGGAGAGGUGAGUAGAAUUCCUAGUGUAGAGGUGAAAUUCGUAGAUAUUAGGAAGAAUACCAGUGGCGAAGGCGGCUCACUGGACAGGUAUUGACGCUGAGGUGCGAAAGCGUGGGGAGCGAACAGG